rnacentral:lncRNA from 1 species
UGUCGAGUGGGUGUCGGCAGCGCUUGUUGCCUGGAGCCCGCAGCACAUGGAGAGCAACAACAGGAGACCAGGUGAAGACGCAUGGAGGUUCCUGAAGGUCGGGGUCUGCCGGCCCGGGAGUCUGGGGGCACAGCAGAACUGCAGUGGAGGAAGGUAAAUCCGAGGUCAUGAAUGCCACAAAUGGACAGCGAGAACUCCUGAGAGCACGCAGGACUCUGUCCUCUUCCAUGAAGUGUCCGUCUCGGGGCAGGCAGGCAGGAAGAUGCCUCCAGGGAAAACAAAGGCAGACCCACUGUCUAGGGGCACAUAGUCCCCUCUCUGGAGAAGGGAGGGCCAGAAAAAGAAGUCAUAAUACCUCAGAGACUGACUGAAGUGUAAGUGAUGACUUUUAUCAAAAAAUGAAGUCAAAGAAGAAAAUUAUUGUCCACAAAGCCAACUUUCCCAGUGGGUUCCCCAGCAGUCUGUGAAGUAAUAAGAGCAGAAAAAGCAAGGUGAAGUUGUACAACACAUACAGAUAUUCAAAAGAGAGACUGGAAACAUUCCAGCCGUUCGGCAGCUGUCCUGCUGUGUGUCAUGUCAUCUGCACCAGCCUGCUCAGACAAAACUAUUUCUUGUUUGAAUCACACGAAGAGCCCAGGUUUCUUCUCCAG